rnacentral:lncRNA from 1 species
CUGCAAACACGAGAAGAACCAUGGCGCCGAAACAACAAGCUCGAAGGCAGAGCGAACGUGAACGUACGGGUAGGUACCUGCUGGAACCGGCAGAUACGUCGGAGCCGUGAUGAUACACGCCACCGGGGCUCAGGCUCAGGCUGAGGCUGAGCUCGGUGUCACAGCGGUCGACGCUGCCUAGCGAUACGAACAGCAGCAGCAGAUCGGUGGCGGUCAUGGCGGAAAGAUCAACGGUCGCCGAUAAGAGGGCUGGUACGCCUCCCCGCACACAGU